CCGUAACGCGGCGGUCCGGCAACCGCAAGGAAGUCGGCCGCCACACGCGUUUUAUCACCCUUGACUUUGAGCACCUUUCGUUUCCUCGGCGGGUUCGCCCGCCAGCGAGGACCCCCAAAAACCUUUUGUAAUAGCAAUAUUCGUCUGAAAAACAACCAAUAAUCA
rnacentral:misc_RNA from 1 species